GAGAAUCAUUGAUUCGCUUUCUGCUUGACUCUGCGUGAGCGAGGGCGCGAGGUGCAGGCCCCCGAGUGGCGGAGCGUGAGCUGGUAGGCUCGUGCGCGCGGGGGUGGGGGGCGCCGACCUCCUCCUGCCCCUCUCUGUGACACAAAAGUCUUGUGUCUUUUUUUUUGUUUUCCAAGACGACAGUGUGUGUCUCUCGGCAUCACCUGUUGGUGUGUCGCUAGUUUAAUGGAAUCUGAUCAGGACUUUGUGAUUUCUUGUCUGCGUGGAACACAGUAGCAGUGGGGUGUUUGUGUAGUUUGAGAAUCCUAGAGACUAUAGUGAUAUGCCCAUCGUGUUGUCUAGAGUUAGUCUUUUAGAUCGGAUGCUUUUUACAAAAUACUUUUUGUGAUGGAUUGAUACGUGGAUUACUACUUGAUUGAAAUUAAACUUUUUAAAAGUCCUGUGGAUAUGGUGAGGUUUUUGUGGUUUCUUUU
rnacentral:sRNA from 1 species